AGUCCGCCGUCCGCGGGGAGGCAGCCCAGGCGCGCACGACCCCCUCGAACACACCCCGGCCCCGCGCACCUGCUCCUCAUCGUGUCCGGAUGCGCAGGCGCCUGGGACCAGCGGAACAAGCCGGGGAGGGCUUGUUCGGCCACAAAGUUGGUUGCCGGGGUGGGGAGAAUGUGCUGGAUUACCCACCCACGAGCCAGGAGUCGGGGUGGGAGGAAUCAGCCUUCCUCCAGGACGGCGCAGCCCACCGGGCGCCUGCUAAGUGCCCAGCACUGACCUCACCUUUAGAAAAGAAAUCUACCUAUGCCACGAUGCGGAGCAUACUAAUAAGCCCAGGGAAGAAGAGUCAGACCCAGUGCCAGCGCAGGGGAAACGCAUCUAAUCCAGAACAGCAGACACAGCUCCUCUCCCAUGGAACACCCAGAGCAGACAUUGCCAGUCGAUCCCAGCACCCUUUCCCCGGGAGCCUGGGCUCAGCCUCAAGACUUUGCUUCCGCUUCACAAAGCUCUGCACAGCCAGUUCUCAUC
rnacentral:lncRNA from 1 species